rnacentral:rRNA from 1 species
UCCGUAGGGGGUGAACCUGCGGAGGGAUCAUUACCGAGUUUACAACUCCCAAACCCCUGUGAACAUACCACUUGUUGCCUCGGCGGAUCAGCCCGCUCCCGGUAAAACGGGACGGCCCGCCAGAGGACCCCUAAACUCUGUUUCUAUAUGUAACUUCUGAGUAAAACCAUAAAUAAAUCAAAACUUUCAACAACGGAUCUCUUGGUUCUGGCAUCGAUGAAGAACGCAGCAAAAUGCGAUAAGUAAUGUGAAUUGCAGAAUUCAGUGAAUCAUCGAAUCUUUGAACGCACAUUGCGCCCGCCAGUAUUCUGGCGGGCAUGCCUGUUCGAGCGUCAUUUCAACCCUCAAGCACAGCUUGGUGUUGGGACUCGCGUUAAUUCGCGUUCCCCAAAUUGAUUGGCGGUCACGUCGAGCUUCCAUAGCGUAGUAGUAAAACCCUCGUUACUGGUAAUCGUCGCGGCCACGCCGUUAAACCCCAACUUCUGAAUGUUGACCUCGGAUCAGGUAGGAAUCCC